rnacentral:lncRNA from 1 species
CUGAAAAUGUUUUCAGUUGCUUAUUUACCCUCUGUAUAUUAUCUUUAGUUAAAUGUCUCUUCAUAUCUUUUGCUCAUUUUCUAAUUGGAUUGAUUGUUGUUUUGAGGUUUGAGAGGAGCUUUUUGCAGGGAAAAAGCUGUUAAUUUUGAUGAAGUUUAAUUUAUCAAUUUUUUCCUGUUAUGGAUUUGCUGUUUGUAUCAAGUCUAAGAACUUUUUGCUUAGCCCUCAGUCCCAAAGAUUUUCUCCUAUGCUGUUGUUAGUAUCAUAUUUGUGGGGUCUUUCUCUGGAUUCUUUUUCUGUUCCGUUAAUCUGUGUGUCUAUCCCUCCACCAAUACUACACAAUCUUGCUUACUAUAGCAAUAUAAUAUGUCUUGAAAUUAGGUUAGAGUGAUUUCUUCUACUUUCUUUUUAUUUUUCAAAAUUGUUUCAGCUACUCUAGUUCUUUUCACUUCCUAUAUAAAUUUUAAAACAAUUCAGCCUGUAUUUAUAAAAAAAGCUUGCUGGGAUUUUGAUAGGAAUUGCCUUAAACCUGCAUACCAAUUUAGGGAGAUUGACAUGUUUAAUAUGUUGAGUUUUCUAACCCACAAAUAUGGUAUGUCUUUCCAUUUAUUUAGAUCUUCUAUUAUCUCUUUCACUAGGAUAGUGUAGGAUUUAGCAUACAUGUCCUAUACAUGUUUUGUCAGAUCUAUAGUUUUCAUUUCACAUUGUUUUGAGUGAUUAUAAACGGUAAUGCAUGUUAAAUUUUGGUGUCUGCUAUGUACUAAAUUGUCAUCCCCCUCGAAUUGAUGUGUGGAAACCCUAACUCUCAGCGUGAUGGUGUUCAGAGAUGGGCCUUUGGUAGGUGAUGAGGUCAUGAGGGUGAGGCCUUCGCGGUAGGAUUAGUGCCCUUAUGAGAGGAGACCCCAGAGAGCCUCCACAUGCUCUCAGCAGCAUGCUAGGGCAUGGAGGUAAGUGCUGUCUACAAGCCAGGAACUGGCUCACAAAAUAAGGUGAGCUGUGUUUCCACCUCCUCUAUAUUUUGGAAGACAUUGUGAAGAAUCGGUGUUAAUUCUUCUUUAUGUGUUUGGUACAAUGUACCAGUGAAGCCAUCUUGUCCUAACUUUUCUUUGUGGAAACUUAAAAAAAAAACUACUAAGUCAGUAUAUUUAUUUGUUUGUUUAUUUAUUUUUGACACAGGUUUUACUCUGUCACUUAGUCUGGAGUGCAGUGGUACAACAGUAGCUCACUGCAACCUCCAACUCCUGGGCUCAAGUGAUCCUCCUGCCUCAGCCUCUUGAGUAACUGGGACUACAGGUGCACACUGCCAUACUCUUCUAUUUGUUUUAUUUUUAUUUUUUGUAAAGAUGGGAGUCUCACUUUGUUGUCCAGGCUCUCCUUGAACUCCUAGCCUUAAAUCUUCC